AUUGAACGCUGGCGGCAGGCUUAACACAUGCAAGUCGAGCGGUAGAGGGGAGCUUGCUUCCCUUGAGAGCGGCGGACGGGUGAGUAAUGCCUAGGAAUCUGCCUGGUAGUGGGGGACAACGUUCGGAAACGGACGCUAAUACCGCAUACGUCCUACGGGAGAAAGGGGGGGAUCUUCGGACCUCACGCUAUCAGAUGAGCCUAGGUCGGAUUAGCUAGUUGGUAGGGUAAAGGCCUACCAAGGCGACGAUCCGUAACUGGUCUGAGAGGAUGAUCAGUCACACUGGAACUGAGACACGGUCCAGACUCCUACGGGAGGCAGCAGUGGGGAAUAUUGGACAAUGGGCGCAAGCCUGAUCCAGCCAUGCCGCGUGUGUGAAGAAGGUCUUCGGAUUGUAAGCACUUUAAGUUGGGAGGAAGUUCAGUAAGUUAAUACCUUGUUGAAUUGACGUUACCGACAGAAUAAGCACCGGCUAACUCUGUGCCAGCAGCCGCAGUAAAAC
rnacentral:rRNA from 1 species